GUAAAACCUGCAGAGCCCAAGGCAAUAAAUACAAACCCACUGGUUAAAGUUAUGUCACUCCCUCAGACUUCCAAUAUAAAGCACAGAGGCAGUGGAACUGCAGCACCAUUAGGAAGUGAACACAUAAAGCAGAGAAAUAAAGGCAACCUAAAACUAGCUUGUGGAAAAUAUAAUCCAUGGAAUUCACAAAAGAUAAAAUCCCUGGUGUACUGAAAGAAAAGCUUCAGAUAAAAGACACUGACAAAAUGCAGCAGCAGGAGAUUUCCCAACUGGAAGGCAUACAUGAGAAGGCUAAAGAUAGUUGUGAGAGAUAGCUUUUAGAGAGAUGAUUAUAAAAUAUAGUGAUCUUGAGCAUGACAUUAAGUUCCUGUUCAACGAAUUCAACAGCAUGAUAAAGGAAGUCACGGAGGACCCAGAACAUGCUAAGCAACACAAGGAGGAAUUCAUGAAAAUGUAUAACAAAAAAACAAACAUCAUGUCUUUGGAUGAGUUCUACACUGCCAUUAUGGAAAAGUCCAGUUACUCUGGGAGCAAAAUGAUGACAGUUUAUAUGGAUUACUACAAUAAAUCAAGGGUGUGUAUGGAGGAUCAAUGCAAAUAUCUGGACCGUCUCAUCUGCAAAGGCAUCAUAGUAGAGAUGGCCAGCAGUGCAAUAAAUCAAGAGGAGAAAUGAAUGAGUGGGAAAAUCAGUUCUACGAAAUUCAAGCCAAGAUGCAAAAAACCCUAAAUGAGUGUAAAAAAUGAGCAGUGUUUUUAAAUUCACUGAGAGUUUGUGUAACCAUUACUUUAUGUUCUGCUGAUUUAUAAUGGAGAUAAUGUUAAACAAAAUGUAGUGCUUUUAUGUAUGUAAUGAGCAUCAAAGACACAAUUUGUGUUCGUGUUUUUUUUAUUUGCUUUUAAAGAAGUUAAAAAUCUGAAAGAACUUUAUACAUAUAAAGGUUCUGCUGAAUAUAUAGCAAAACUAGAUAUUUUUCACCAAAAUAUUUAAAGUUGCUUUGCAGAAUGUUAAAUGUUUCAGGUUUAUUUGCCAUAUCUUUAUCUAUUUUCAUUUCUUUUACAUUUUUGUUAGCUCAUAAUGCUGUUUGCAUGAGUACUGUUAUAUGCAAAAAGAUUUGGUGCCCCAGGCCAAAUAUGUUUUCACAUAACAAAACAAUAAACUAAGUAAACAAAA